UACAUAGGGAGCAAGCGUUAUCCGGAAUUAUUGGGUGUAAGGGGUGCGUAGACGGAGGAACAAGUUAGUUGUGAAAUCCCUCGGCUUAACUGAGGAACUGCAACUAAAACUAUUCCCCUUGAGUGUCGGAGAGGAAAGUGGAAUUCCUAGUGUAGCGGUGAAAUGCGUAGAUAUUAGGAGGAGCACCAGUGGCGAAGGCGACUUUCUGGACGAUAACUGACGUUGAGGCACGAAAGUGUGGGGAGCAAACAGG
rnacentral:rRNA from 1 species